rnacentral:misc_RNA from 1 species
GAUGAAGAACGCAGCGAAAUGCGAUAAGUAAUGUGAAUUGCAGAAUUCAGUGAAUCAUCGAAUCUUUGAACGCACAUUGCGCCCCCUGGUAUUCCGGGGGGCACGCCUGUUCGAGCGUCAUUUCAACCCUCAAGCCCCCGGCUUGACGUUGGGCGCGGCCCCUCCCUCGGGGGGGGCCCGCCUGAGACCCCUCGGCGUCGCCGUCCGUCCCAGAGCGCAGCGAGUUUUCUGCCCGCGCUACUGGACCGGGCCGCUGGCCGCCGGUGAAUCCAUUUUCUCAAGGUUGACCUCGGAUCAGGUGGGGAUACCCGCUGAACUUAAGCAUAUCAAUAAGCGGAGGA